rnacentral:rRNA from 1 species
GACGAACGCUGGCGGCGUGCUUAACACAUGCAAGUCGAACGGAAAGGCCCUGCUUUUGUGGGGGGCUCGAGUGGCGAACGGGUGAGUAACACGUGAGUAACCUGCCCUUGACUUUGGGAUAACUUUAGGAAACUGGGGCUAAUACCGGAUAGGAGCUCCUGCUGAAUGGUGGGGGUUGGAAAGUUUCGGCGGUUGGGGUUGGACUCGCGGCUUAUCAGCUUGUUGGUGGGGUAGUGGCUUACCAAGGCUUCGACGGGUAGCCGGCCUGAGAGGGGGACCGGCCCCAUUGGGACUGAGCUACGGCCCAGACUCCUACGGGAGGCAGCAGUAGGGAAUAUUGCACGAUGGACGGAAGCCUGAUGCAGCAACGCCGCGUGCGGGAUGACGGCCUUCGGGUUGUAAACCGCUUUCGCCUGUGACGAAGCGUGAGUGACGGUAAUGGGUAAAGAAGCACCGGCUAACUACGUG